rnacentral:lncRNA from 1 species
CUGUACCUGGCUGUGCUGUACGUAUUUGUUAGCUAAAACCACCACACAGACUCACACACAAGAACUUCAUAACUAAACUACUGAGAGCAAAUCCCGCUCAGCAGUCAGUCACACCUUCUAUCGAGACAUGUCAGCACUCAACAGUCACCAAGUGGGAUCCUCCUGAGUCUGCCGGGGCAGGCGGAGGAGUCCCAGAGCCAGGGAAGGCACUGCUUCGAAGAGUUCUGUUGGCAGCAAUUCAUGCAAAGGUGCCAGCAAGAAAGCAUGGGGACUGUGCAUGCCAUUAUCAUAUUUUGAAUCAAAAUAAAAUGUGCCCAUCAAAUGUCUCCCUCAGAAGCAAACACACUGAUGCUAAUGCACAAUCUGAUAUUUCCUCAGAAUCAAUAACAUCUCUGCUUCUAGGUCUUUGUUACUGUAAAUCUUGACAAGAUUUUGUCAAGUGAUCUUCAAAAGGCCAGAGCCAAGACUGACCACGGCCCGAUGAUUUGGAGGGACAUGCCUCAGGCUGACCACUAGGUCUCAUGGACUGGCAUGCCUGUAUGACAUUCUCCAUACUCCUCUGCAAGAAACAGAGCAGAAAGGUCCUCGAAGUGCAAGCACAUGCCCUGGGUUCCUGAGAAUGCAGCAAGAAGCAGGGAAUUGUUUUCUUCCAUUAAGCCCUGCCCUGAGCAGAAAGAAAUCAUCUCUAAGCUCCUGUCUUGGGUGACAUGUUCCCUGACACAGGGUUGCUUUUCCUCACCUGUCUAAACUAAGUAAAGAGGAUCCAAUAUCCACUCAACGCUGAUCUUUUCAGCAGAUACUCAAAGGAUAAAGCAAGGAUAAUUUAUUCUUCUGUUUAAUCCCAUAGAGUGGAUUGUGAACUUCCAAACAGAGAGACAUUCUUCUGAGAAGAGAGCCCCCUUAUCAGUUUGGCCCUGUCCAAAAUGAUAACUCCACGUUGCCUUUGCCUGCAGGAAGUAUUUGUCCUCUGUCAAUAACUAAUUGUCAGGAUUGCAUUUGCCUCUGUAGAAGGGAAAUCUGAAAAACAUUUACAUAAACAUAAACAAAAACAUUUAGAGCCCAGGCUUCUAAAUGCAUGUGGGUUACAACCAACUUCCCACUUUAAUUAUGCUCCCAGUAUAACCCUAAGAGCAGAGGGGAAGGCGGCCGUCCUUCCCUUCAUUUGGCUCUUCUUGGGUGAGAAGCUCUUAAGAAAAAGAAACAGACAUCCCCAGUUUAUUUCUUGAAGCUAUUUCUUUUGUAAGGCGUAAUAUCCAGGUGGGUUUUGCAUACUUCAUGAACAGAACAUUUAAGUUGCUCUUAAAUUGAAUUUAUAGCACAAUUUUUAUAUAUAACCACAGAUUAUUUGUUUGUUUGUUCAAGCUAAAAUUAAAGCUGGCCGUCUACAUAAACCGUCCAUGGAGCGGCAAGGAUUUGCGCUCUGCCGCCUGCCCAAGAGUUCCACCGGAGACCAGAUACCAAGACAAACCAGCAAUUUGGUGUGGCUGCGCGUGCACUCAUUUCCCUGCCUGAGUACUCUGAGGUCAUUAAGGGGUGCUGGGUUCUUUAGAAAGACAUUCUCAUUAAGUGAAUGGUGUUGAACUGCAGUUUCAUAGCAGCCUAGGCAUAGGCGUCCAUGACACACACACACACACACACACACUGACACACAAAAACACACACACACACAAAAACACACAAACACACACAAAAACACACUCACAAACACACACACACAACACACACACACACAAACACAAAAUGAUUAUUAUAUUUACUUAUACAAGUUAUAUUUAAACUAUGCCUACAUACAGUAUAUAUGUUGCAAAACUAUUCCCCCCUAGAGGCCAAGGAGGUUGUCUUUCUCAUCUUUAAAUUCCUAGAAGUGAGUAUUUAGUUAAAAGUUACCAGCAUAUUUGGCUCCAGUUAUAUUAUCCUUGAUUUCUGAAUUUAUUCAUUCCGACAUAUCUACUGGGCACCUCUUGUGUUCUAGACAAUCUACAAAGCAUAUGGGUACCAAGACAGCCUUCUCAAGGAAUAUUCCAUCUACCAAAUUGAAUAUUUUGAUCUUACAAAUGAAUUCAUAAGGGAUUAUGGAUAUUAAAGAAGGGUUAAAGAUCAGUAGAAAAGUCCAAGUAUUUUUUACUUUGAACAUAACCCCCUAAGUUUAUACUGUUUGCUCAGAAAAAAAAGUAAUAACAAUGGCCUCUAAAUCCUUCCCUUCUUGUCUAUUUGUUUUUUAACUCUUCACUGGAGUGUGAAACCCUUGAGGGCAGAAACUCAGGCCCAGUGGCUUCUGCAGCUCCAGCUCCUGGCACCUGGCAGGCACUCGCUGCUGACAACCUGACCGACUUACUAAAUAAACCAAUAUCGAGAUUUUCAUGAGAUACCAGGACACAAGCUUCUAAAAAUGUUCAGCAUUCAAAAUAUCAGAAUAAGAGGUAGGAUGCUCCAAAGAAAUAAAUCAGCCUUCCCUAUCCGCAGCCCCGCCCCUGAGAGAGAUGUGCCAUGGGAAAGAAGAGCUUCCAACACUGGGAAAACUGCUCACCCUGGCACUGAAAUACAGGAAUUCUAGGAAUCCCUGCAUUUCAUGAACACUCUGAAUUUUUGAAAUAAAUAACGUGAAUGAUGACAACACAAGCCAUACAUACUGGCACUCACAUGCAAGCCCCAGGCGGGGGCUGCAUGGCAGAGCUGCAGGCCAGUUGGAAAUAUGAAUGACUGCGCUUCUGAUGUGUUUUUUAGGCUGCUAAUUUUUACAGCCAAGAGAUUUGCUAUUAUAAGUUCACUUCAACGUGGCUGAAAGGAAUGGAAAUGAAUUGGCAGAUGUUACAGGUUGUCUUUACCUUUAAUCUGUAUUCGUAACUACACCCUGGACUGAGACCCCUUUAAGAUACUACAUUGAUCCAAGGUAAAAAGUAAUAUACUGCAGGUCCUCAAAUAACAUCGUGUCAUUCAAUGUCAUUUCAUUAUAAUAUUGGUGAGAAAAAAAAAACUGAUUCCAGCUGGGGUCACUGUCAGUGUGGUGUGUGCAGUUCUCCCCAUGUCUGUGUGGGUUUUCUCUGAGUACUCCCAUUUCCUCCCACAUCCCAAAGCUGUGCACAUUAGGUUCAUUGGUCCCAGUCUGAGUGAGUGUGGGUGUGUGAGAGUGUGUGUACCCUGCAAUGGGAUGGCAUCCUGGCCAGGACUCAUUCCCCCCUUGCACCUUGACUCUGAGCUGGAAUA